AUUUGCUUAAUAUCAAGCUUGUCUUUUCAUGCCACCAAUUAGCCAAUAACUAAAGUAGAACUUUUCAUUUUCUGCAUGCUCACACACCAAGACCAUCAAGCCAUUUAAAAAAGAAAAACAGGAAUCUACUCUUUAUGCCUCUUGAAUUCAUUUCAAAUUUAUGGUGUAGGAUAAUAUCACAUUAUUUGUAACAUAUUAACA
rnacentral:misc_RNA from 1 species